rnacentral:rRNA from 1 species
UACGUAGGGUGCAAGCGUUAAUCGGAAUACUGGGCGUAAAGCGUGCGCAGGCGGCUUUGCAAGACAGAUGUGAAAUCCCCGGGCUCAACCUGGGAACUGCAUUUGUGACUGCAUGGCUAGAGUACGGUAGAGGGGGGGAUGGAAUUCCGCGUGUAGCAGUGAAAUGCGUAGAUAUGCGGAGGAACACCGAUGGCGAAGGCAAUCCCCUGGACCUGUACUGACGCUCAUGCACGAAAGCGUGGGGAGCAAACAGG